rnacentral:rRNA from 1 species
AGCAGCCGCGGUAAUUCCAGCUCCAAUAGCGUAUAUUAAAGUUGUUGCAGUUAAAAAGCUCGUAGUUGAAUUUUAGGCCUGGCCGGGCGGUCCGUCUUUGGCGAGUACUGUCCUGUGUCGGGUCUUCCUUCUGGUGAACCAGUAUGUCCUUUAUUGGGUGUGCCGGGGAGCCAGGACCAUUACCUUGAAAAAUUAGAGUGUUUAAAGCGGGCUUUUGCUUGAAUAGAUUAGCAUGGAAUAAUAGAAUAGGACGUUGUGGUUCUAUUUUGUUGGUUUCUAGGACCACCGUAAUGAUUAAUAGGGACAGUUGGGGGCAUUAGUAUUCAAUUGUCAGAGGUGAAAUUCUUGGAUUUAUUGAAGACUAACUAUUGCGAAAGCAUUUGCCAAGGAUGUUUUCAUUAAUCAAGAACGAAAGUUAGGGGAUCGAAGACGAUCAGAUACCGUCGUAGUCUUAACCAUAAACUAUGCCGACUAGGAAUCGGGCGACGUUAUUUCAUGACUCGCUCGGCGCCUUAUGGGA